UUCUAUUGCUCCUGUCCUCUGGCCAUAAGUAGUAAGGGAGCAAUCCAAGAACCGGGUGGGCUGCUGCAGUAUCUCAUGAAAAUGUUCAGCUCCCAUGGACCUUCUUCAACACCCAGGCAUCUCACUACUACCUCACCUGCUACUGCAGUAGACAUCUCACUACUAAAUCUUCCUACCUUGACACCAAGAACACAGAUUGUCACCUUCUUCCUAGCUAAGCUGGAUUACUCACAAGGUGUCCUAUUGUGUGUCAAGUGUUAGAAGGUACUUGGCAAAGCUUUGCCCAUAAUUCC